AGUUGCCUCGGGACGCAGCAGUGAGGAAUAUUGGUCAAUGGGCGGGAGCCUGAACCAGCCAAGCCGCGUGAGGGAAGAAGGUACAGCGUAUCGUAAACCUCUUUUGUCAGGGAACAAAGGCGGGGACUAGUCCCCGGAUGAGGGUACCUGAAGAAAAAGCAUCGGCUAACUCCGUGCCAGCAGCCGCGGCAAUACGGAGGAUGCGAGCGUUAUCCGGAUUUAUUGGGUUUAAAGGGUGCGCAGGCGGCCUGUUAAGUCAGCGGUAAAAGCCCGGGGCUCAACCCCGGCGAGCCGUUGAAACUGGG
rnacentral:rRNA from 1 species